GACCUGAGAGGGUGAUCGGCCACACUGGAACUGAGACACGGUCCAGACUCCUACGGGAGGCAGCAGUAGGGAAUCUUCCGCAAUGGGCGAAAGCCUGACGGAGCAACGCCGCGUGAGUGAUGAAGGUCUUCGGAUCGUAAAACUCUGUUAUCAGGGAAGAACAAAUGUGUAAGUAACUGUGCACAUCUUGACGGUACCUGAUCAGAAAGCCACGGCUAACUACGUGCCAGCAGCCGCGGUAAUACGUAGCUGGCAAGCGUUAUCCGGAAUUAUUGGGCGUAAAGCGCGCGUAGGCGGUUUUUUAAGUCUGAUGUGAAAGCCCACGGCUCAACCGUGGAGGGUCAUUGGAAACUG
rnacentral:rRNA from 2 species